CAUUGUUUUUAUAAUAUUUUUCAUUUUUAAUUUCGUAUAAGCACUUUAUUUAUUCACGCACGUAGGAUUAAUAACUGUUUUAAAGUGUUCUAGUCUUCUACGCAAUUUUAAUGUAUAAAUGUCUUAUCAUAUCUAUAAAUCGCGAGAAAAAGCAAAACAAAAAUGAACUACUCAAUGAUGCAUUUGAAACGGAAAUUAUGUGCCAAAUUUUUUUGAUUAAACAGUCGUAGUAACGUUCUAAUUAUAAUGUGGAUCAUUGGUUUUUGAUGUUUUUAGAUAUAUAUAUAUAUAUUUUGUUGUAGUUAUCGAUUCUGAAUUUCAGAAAUAUUGUUGUGGAAGUGAACACAUUUCAGUAUACGUAGUGGCGCUCAAAAUUCUCUGCUUCAAUAAUCAACUAGAAAAAAAGAAAACACUUUUAAUAUAAUUGUCCUUAAUUUGUGCAAUGGUUCAUUAACAAUUUUUAUGUCUACUCAAAAGGACUAGAAAAACUUGAUUAAAACAAUAUUAAAAUGUCGUUCAUAAAAUCUUCCUUCGAGAUUUACAUAUCUAGAAUCUCAUUUUGUAUAAUUGCAAGUUUUUGUGAUAGCCCAUUUUGAAAAAAAAAACUUGGAACGAUUUAAGGGCAUAAAGAUAUUAAUGAAGCAUUUUCACAAGUUAUGGAGGUUGUAGCGCAUACUACAUAAAUGUGCCCACACUGUAGAAAUAAUGUCAACUAACAUUUUAUUGUUAGUCAUUCCAUUAUUAUGAAAAAAGACCAAAGAGAAAACCGUGUUGCUUUAUGAGAUUAACUCAAGGUGGAAGUUUGCUGCUUGUUAACUGUGGGCAUUAAUUAUAUAUUUUUUAAUAUCGUUAGGGUUUUAAUAGAACGAAGCCAAAUUAGGUCAUUCAUCCAAUGUCAUUAACUAACUAAACUUAAUUAGAUCUUAGAUCCAAAUUUUGAUGAUCUGUGACUGAUUUUGUUUAUUUUACAAAAUACGUAUGUAAAUAAAUUGAUGUUUAUUAGAUCAACAGUACAUUCAAAUAAUAGUGUGAUUAACUGCUCUGUUUACAAUUUUAAAUAUGACAAACAUACGAUUUUUUUAAAUUUUAUUCGGUGACUUCAAACCGUUUGCCAAAGGGCAGAAAAUAAUGGAAAAGCAAUACUCAUAAGUGACUUGUUUCACAUCACUCAAAACUGUGAAAAUGAUGCAGAAUAUUCAUUUUGAAUUGGAUGCUUAUAAUUUUUAAUAAAAAAAAACUUAAACUGAUAAUUUUCAGAUAAAAGCUUGGAAUCUAUACAUUAAAAUGUUUGAUUUAUAGUUAAUUGUAUUUGAUGAAUGGUCUUUUCUAUACAUGCUAUGUCUAAUUAAAUAAUGCAUAUCUAGGUAGAUGUCGAAUCUGUUUAUUUCGCUACAUAUUAAUUUAGAUAAUGAGUUUGUUAGAGGUAGUCGAAACAUUGUAGUGAUAGAAAUAUAAAUAACUGACGCACUAGUCUAGAACUGAAAAAUAUUUAGUGCAAUAUUUUAAAAGCGCGAAAACAAAUGUCGGUAAACUUGAUCGCUUAAGUCAUAGUAGUGACCUAGCAGAGGCCUUAUGUCUAGCUAUCUCAUAUAAAAUACUUACAACAUAUUUAUCUGGCAAUCACUUUUAGCUUUUUAUUAAGUAUCAUAUUUAAAGACAAAAAAUUAAAGAAAUUCAAACUUAAACGGAUGUGCUAUCCUUUUUAUUAGACUUUACGAUCUAGAAAAGAAUUCUUAUCAAAUUGAGUCUUUCAGAGCGUUUGGGAUUUAUUGUUUGGAACAAAGAUACGGGAUUAAAACAGUGACUAAACAGUCGCUUCAGUGUAAUAGCAUUUUUAAAAAUUCAUAAAUUUUGCAUUUCUGAAUCGAUUUCAAAAUUUUAAACAUAAUUAAUUGGAUAUUACCAUCGAAUCCCUAUUUCUGUUUACACUUUUUCAUCUUUGAAAGUAAAAAUCUGAAAAACAAUACGGUACCUAAUGAUUAAUUUUUAAUUAAAUUUUAGUGUUAGACUAAUAUAAUGUAUUUAAUUUUUAUUUUUAUCAAUUUUGCAAAGGGUAGUACGUCUCUUUAUAGUUUUAGUCAAAUAAAACGCUAGCAGUUUAAUAUUAUAGAGAACCACAAUCAUUAAAAUUAACGGUUUCAAGCCUUCAGUAAACAGGGUCACAAACAAGUUAAACAUAUAAAUAAGGUAUUAUCCACUCUUUGAGUGGACUUCUUAUUUUUACCACACUUGGUUUGUGAACGAAAAGUUAUAACGGUCGAGUUUUGAAACGGUUUUGAAGUAAUAUCAAAAAACACUGAUCAAAUGAAAAUUAGACCCUAUAGUUUCAAGAAAUGUAUUGGUUACAAAUAUUAGAAUUGUACGUUAUCUUGGAAAAGCAAACGUUGUAGUAAUUGUAUUCAGUAUAAUUCUUGAAAUAGUAGGUAGUGCUUAUUAUUUAUCAGUAUGAACAAAUUAACAAUAAAAAGAUUACAAAAGGGAUUUUAAAAACAGAAAAGUGAUAUUACUUUAAGUCCAAUAAAAAAACCUGACUAUGAGCAAUGAAAAUCAUCUUGAAUAUACCUGAGGCAAUCGCAUUAUUAGACUGUAGAAAACGCUUUAAGUGAGAUAGAUAUUAUAUAAUAAAGUUAUUUAUUAAAUAAAAAGCUCAAAGAUUUGCGAGCUUAUAAUUAUAUAUUGGCGAAGAUAUUCAGGGUAAUUUUUAACAUUUUAGGAUGCAAAUAAAGUCUUAGAAUUAUAAUAACAUAGGCAAUAAAAGUGUUUCAGAUUAUUAUUCUAGAUUGUACAACUUGAUAUCAUAUACAUAAUACUAUAUGCUAAAAGGAUGCUUUGCUUUGGAAGGCAACAAUUGCGAAUUAUUGCUAUUAAAAAAAACCCUUCUUCCACUCAAAAGCGAUCAUCAUAUCUUCUCCGAUGCAUAUCUUUUAGGAAUUGUAUUUUACAAUAAACCCUAUUGAUUAAUGCAUAGAAUUUAAAAAUUCCAAAAAUGCUUUAUUUAUUGAUUUAGUUAGACAUUGAAAAUAAUGCUGGAGACGUAAUACAAGCAAUUAUAUUCUGUAAUUGUGAAGAGUAAUACGCUUUUGUAAUACAAUGUGAAACUGUUUAUCGGUAAAUCUUAUAAAUGUAUCUUAUAUUAAACGCAUUUGCUACUUGUAAAACAUGUUUAAUGAUCUAUCUAAAUUUGAACCAGUAAAAUAUUGGAAAAAGUGUAUUAGCAAUACAAAUCAAUAAAUGAGAGUCUAAAAUUACCA